UUCGACGACCAUUGCCUCCGUCUGGCUGGUGUGGUGGUGCCGCCUCUGUGGAUAUAUAAAGUGAGCAAAACGAACGAACGCGAACUGCUUGGGUCUCUGGUCUGGAUUUGGUUUGUUUUCUGUUUUUUUUUUUUAUUUUGCUGCGCGCGUAUCGCAAAAGUUCUGUCGUAGUCGCAGAGCUACUUGAGUAGGCUGCCUGCCGUCUGUCUUGUUGUUUUGACUUUGCCUCAAUCUUAAUCUUCAAACGAAACAACCAACCAACGACACACCCUAUAAAAAAACAUAUACGUGCGGUUCCGCCUAUGGCAAGCGAGCAUAUUUCUGAAGGAUGUAAUCCAACCCAUCGAAGACUUGGAGUAGCUAGCAGAUUUGAUGUGAAAUCCAGAGACUGUGAUCCGUGGCGAUACACAAGCAUAAUCUCUAUGCCAAAGGGAUCAGCAUCUACCAGUAUAUAGGCAGGUAAAUUGAAUUCCAUGGUCAAUCGAUGGACCAGACGACGAGUACUGCAAUCCGGAUAUCCCUUGCCGGUUACAAGAAUCAAACGUAUGCCAAAUGAAUUGAAAAUAUUUCGCGAUAAUAAUGACUCGAAAACCGAUUCCUUUUCGACAAUCAAAACAAGUUCGGCUCUGGUGUCAAUGUGAUCAACAUUUUCAAAAUCAAUGGGCAACGAAAUGGCUCCACCAUAGGCAUUACAAUCUAGAAUAUCUCCAUUGCUCAUUGUCAUCCGAAUGUCACCUGAAAAGAAAGCAUAAAUUAGAUAAAAUAUCGUUAAAUUACUUGACUCGAGUGAUAGUGCUUACCUGCUAGUAGACCUUUGGAUGCCGACAGAAUUCCCAAAUGAAAUGGCGCCGUAUUUAGUAUGCGACAAACAUCCAAUUUGGCUGCCACAAUGAAUGAUUGUGCCCGGAUCAGCUGGGUAUUGCGAUAAUAGAGUCCCCGCACCGUGCAACUACCCCCUUCAGCCAGCAGACGAUGAAUCUCAGCCAACAUAUAGAUCAGCAGGCAAAAACGAUGUCGGCUCCGAUUAUUAUUAUAUGUUACACAACGAAAUGGUGAGUGAAUUUCUCCAUUCUUCUCCCUUUCCGUUCGAUAUCGUGGAACUUUAAAUGUGGCAGAUCCACGCAUCACCAGCUCCAACAGCAUUUCCAUUACCAAUCGUUCCAAAUUGUUCAAUAUUAAUACUUUAUUUUCCUUUGAAACUUUUUCCAUGUUCUUUUAACCUGUUCUUUGCUUUCCCAUGAACUUAAUGUAAUUGUUUCUCUUAAUCAUAAAACGAAAAUUAAAAAUAUUUACACUUAAUGUACGCAAAACAGA